rnacentral:rRNA from 1 species
CCUACGGGUGGCAGCAGUGGGGAAUAUUGGACAAUGGGCGAAAGCCUGAUCCAGCCAUGCCGCGUGUGUGAAGAAGGCCUUCGGGUUGUAAAGCACUUUCAGUGGGGAAGAAAGCCUUGGGGCUAAUACCCUCGAGGAAGGACAUCACCCACAGAAGAAGCACCGGCUAACUCCGUGCCAGCAGCCGCGGUAAUACGGAGGGUGCGAGCGUUAAUCGGAAUUACUGGGCGUAAAGCGCGCGUAGGCGGUCUGAUAAGCCGGUUGUGAAAGCCCCGGGCUCAACCUGGGAACGGCAUCCGGAACUGUCAGGCUAGAGUGCAGGAGAGGAAGGUAGAAUUCCCGGUGUAGCGGUGAAAUGCGUAGAGAUCGGGAGGAAUACCAGUGGCGAAGGCGGCCUUCUGGACUGACACUGACGCUGAGGUGCGAAAGCGUGGGUAGCAAACAGGAUUAGAUACCCCUGUGGUC